GAUGAACGCUAGCUACAGGCUUAACACAUGCAAGUCGAGGGGCAGCAUGGUCUUAGCUUGCUAAGACUGAUGGCGACCGGCGCACGGGUGAGUAACACGUAUCCAACCUGCCGUCUACUCUUGGACAGCCUUCUGAAAGGAAGAUUAAUACAAGAUGGCAUCAUGAGUCCGCAUGUUCACAUGAUUAAAGGUAUUCCGGUAGACGAUGGGGAUGCGUUCCAUUAGAUAGUAGGCGGGGUAACGGCCCACCUAGUCUUCGAUGGAUAGGGGUUCUGAGAGGAAGGUCCCCCACAUUGGAACUGAGACACGGUCCAAACUCCUACGGGAGGCAGCAGUGAGGAAUAUUGGUCAAUGGGCGAGAGCCUGAACCAGCCAAGUAGCGUGAAGGAUGACUGCCCUAUGGGUUGUAAACUUCUUUUAUAAAGGAAUAAAGUCGGGUAUGGAUACCCGUUUGCAUGUACUUUAUGAAUAAGGAUCGGCUAACUCCGUGCCAGCAGCCGCGGUAAUACGGAGGAUCCGAGCGUUAUCCGGAUUUAUUGGGUUUAAAGGGAGCGUAGAUGGAUGUUUAAGUCAGUUGUGAAAGUUUGCGGCUCAACCGUAAAAUUGCAGUUGAUACUGGAUAUCUUGAGUGCAGUUGAGGCAGGCGGAAUUCGUGGUGUAGCGGUGAAAUGCUUAGAUAUCACGAAGAACUCCGAUUGCGAAGGCAGCCUGCUAAGCUGCAACUGACAUUGAGGCUCGAAAGUGUGGGUAUCAAACAGGAUUAGAUACCCUGGUAGUCCACACGGUAAACGAUGAAUACUCGCUGUUUGCGAUAUACGGCAAGCGGCCAAGCGAAAGCGUUAAGUAUCCCACCUGGGGAGUACGCCGGCAACGGUGAAACUCAAAGGAAUUGGCGGGGGCCCGCACAAGCGGAGGAACAUGUGGUUUAAUUCGAUGAUACGCGAGGAACCUUACCCGGGCUUAAAUUGCAGAUGAAUUACGGUGAAAGCCGUAAGCCGCAAGGCAUCCGUGAAGGUGCUGCAUGGUUGUCGUCAGCUCGUGCCGUGAGGUGUCGGCUUAAGUGCCAUAACGAGCGCAACCCUUGUUGUCAGUUACUAACAGGUUCCGCAGAGGACUCUGACAAGACUGCCAUCGUAAGAUGUGAGGAAGGUGGGGAUGACGUCAAAUCAGCACGGCCCUUACGUCCGGGGCUACACACGUGUUACAAUGGGGGGUACAGAGGGCCGCUACCACGCGAGUGGAUGCCAAUCCCCAAAACCUCUCUCAGUUCGGACUGGAGUCUGCAACCCGACUCCACGAAGCUGGAUUCGCUAGUAAUCGCGCGUCAGCCACGGCGCGGUGAAUACGUUCCCGGGCCU
rnacentral:rRNA from 1 species